GACAUGACGCUCGCUCUGAAGAACAUUUUGGAAGAGUACUGCGAGAUCAGCAGUCUGCUGACUGACGAAGUGGUCAAAGUCCAUCAAGAGAUUUCUGCGGCGGUCCAGCAGAUCGACCCGCUGGUGGAAUACCAGCACUUCAUCGACGCCUACAGGUCUCCGGAGAGCCCUGAGGCCAACGUGGAGUUCGACACCUCCCUGCUGGACGAGACAGACAACCUGUCGGCCAAUGAGAUCCUGUGGAACACGCUGACGGCCGACAGUCUUCAAGCCAUGUGAGGACACCCCCCCUGGAGUUCACCUA